ACGAUGCACCACAAUGAAAUAUUGACGAAAAUACAGGGAAUGAUAAAAAAAUAACCUUACUAAGGGUGGAGUUGACGUUGUAGACGGAAUGAGUGCAACAUACAAUGUAGCUAGAAACACAAGAAGAUGUCCAAUGGUUGUUUUUUAUCGCAUCAUGAACACACAGCUGCGAUAAAUGCUGCUAUUAUUUACAACUCAAAUCAGAAGAACAACUGAGAAGAAGAGAGUUUUCGAGGUAGCUUUUUUUUCGCUUCUGCAUGAUCAUUUUCAGCAAAGAGUAAUGUCACAAACAUUGCCAAGGAAGAUAACUGAAAGAACUGGAGAGCUUUGCAGUGUGAAAAUUUCUGAAGUGGAAUCAACUGCGACUUCACGAGGACGGCGUGUGGAUUGCAGAAGCACAAACAGAAAAACAAGAUAUAUUUGUAAGAACCGCAAGGAAUACAUUUGCCUUGAACAUUCUGUUGCUGUGUGCCAAGACUGUAUCGAUAAAAUAUCUGAUUGAAUACAUCCAUUAUUUUGAUAACAGUUAAAUUUUAUGUAUCUCCAUUUGUGUAAAUAUUUUUGACCAAAAUAUUAAAUUUAUCCUGUAAAUAUAUUUACUAAACAGAUUUGUAAUGAUAUUACUUCAUUCAAUAACGCUUUCCUCCAUAAUAUAUAACUAAAUGCAAAUUCAGAAAGAUAGAAACUACAAGGGUCUGUGAGACCUGCUGCGUGUACUGAAGGACGACAUUUCAAAGUUCGCGGCGUCAAAGGGAAAAAUUACAUUAAUCAAACGAGAAACGACAGUCGGAAGCGCAUCAGAGACCGAGAGACGUAACUUUGUGCAGGCCGCAGGGAAAUGGGUGUGUCCAAGCUACUGCGAAGUAACAGGACGUAGUAUUUGCAAACGAACAGGAGAAAACGUCCAGAUCAAUUACACGAAAUCGCGUUUGAUAUAUAAAACAUACUUGUCACAGCUAAGAACUUGGAAAACACGACAACGGAAAAUAAUAAGAUACCCAUUGAGGAUGCUACAACUGUGAUGAACCACGUUUGGGUGACAAAGUAAACCAAUAAUUUGUGUACUUACAAAAAGGUGGACUCAUCGUUAAUUCAUUAACAUUUUUCUGCAAGCACUGAAACUGAGUCCAAACUCAAAUAGGCCAAUGAUGUAAACAGACUGUUGUUUUAUAGAAGAUGAGAAGCUGAAACUCUCAGGAAUACCUGUAAUACUACCUUUACGACAUAGUUCUCCAGUUGGACAACUCUUAAAGUUGUUGGGCAUAUAACUGAUGAACUGCAAGAGGAAAUUAUCAACAAAUGAAGCCUUCAAAGCAUGGUCUAUGGGCAAGUAUUUCACAGGGGAUACUCAGAAUCCACUAUUUUAUGUGUAUUAAUAAUCUUGUGUUGUCCAUAUGUUUGUUGUAAAAGUUGCGAAAUAGCGGUAAAGAAAUGUGUCGAAUAGCAAGUAUAGACCGUUGGGUCAGGAGAACUAAGGAAACUGAAUCCCUUUCACCGAAACCAGAUUUCACACAAUAAUGCCCAAAGUGAUACAAUGUAGUGGUAAAAUAUUGACAUAUUCUGUGAAAAUAUGUAUAACACUGUUGGAAAUAAAGAAUGUUAGCAGUCAUAA